GACGAACGCUGGCGGCGUGCCUAAUACAUGCAAGUUGAGCGCUGAAGGUUGGUACUUGUACCAACUGGAUGAGCAGCGAACGGGUGAGUAACGCGUGGGGAAUCUGCCUUUUAGCGGGGGACAACAUUUGGAAACGAAUGCUAAUACCGCAUAAAAACUUUAAACACAAGUUUUAAGUUUGAAAGAUGCAAUUGCAUCACUCAAAGAUGAUCCCGCGUUGUAUUAGCUAGUUGGUGAGGUAAAGGCUCACCAAGGCGAUGAUACAUAGCCGACCUGAGAGGGUGAUCGGCCACAUUGGGACUGAGACACGGCCCAAAAUCCUACGGGAGGCAGCAGGAGGGAAUCUUCGGCAAUGGACGAAAGUCUGACCGAGCAACGCCGCGUGAGUGAAGAAGGUUUUCGGAUCGUAAAACUCUGUUGGUAGAGAAGAACGUUGGUGAGAGUGGAAAGCUCAUCAAGUGACGGUAACUACCCAGAAAGGGACGGCUAACUACGUG
rnacentral:rRNA from 1 species